GACGAACGCUGGCGGCGUGCUUAACACAUGCAAGUCGAGCGGAAAGGCCUGCUUUCCCUUGUGGAUUGCGGGUACUCGGGUGGCGAACGGGUGAGUAACACGUGAGUGAUCUGCCCCCAACUUGGGUAUAAGCCUGGGAAACUGGGUCUAAUUCCCGAUAGGACUGCAGGGUGGUGCCUGUGGUGGAAAACGAUUUUCUAGUGGUUGGGGAUGAGCUCGCGGCCUGUCAGCUUGUUGGUGGGGUACUGGCCUACCAAGGCGGCGACGGGUAGCCGGCCUGGGAGGGUGGACGGCGACAUUGAGACUGGGAUCAGGCCCAGACGGCUACGAGAAGCAGGAGUGGGGAGUAUAGGACAGUGAGCGGAAGCCUGAUGCAGCGAGGCCGCGAGGGGGAUGACGGGGUUCUGGUUGUAAUCUCCUUGCGACCGAAAGGAGGCCACCUAGUUCGAAGGGUGGUGACGGUAGUGGAAGAAGAAGCACCGGCUAACUACGUG
rnacentral:rRNA from 1 species